GGUUUCCUCUGUAAGCAUCUCUAAAGAAAUCAAACGCCUUGUUUGAAAGUUUUAAUCACUAAUAAUGCUACACGUAAUGCAUGACUACUAAAAAAGAGACACAGCCCAGGCAGUCUGUCAUGUAUUUGAUGCUCCACUGCGGAUCACCAUUUACCCCUUUUGAUUCUUAGGUCUUACCCAAAGCAAAAAGGAAGAGAAUUUCAUUUUUUUUUUUUUUAAAUGAAGCUUGUUAAACAAUGUAGUUUGAGUCUGAAUAUGCAUUUUCUGAUCACUGACGACUCAGCUCUUCAGAACUUGCUUUGAUCUAAGUUACCAGAUGAAGCAAGACCUUCGUUCUCUGAAUAUUUUGCCUUAAACAUUCAGAGCUGGGGUCAGUUUUCUUCUCCUCAUCACCUAAAAACAACGGUUGUGCAUUUCACCACUGUAUCUGCUGUCUGAUUCCUAUUUAGCAUCCAGAAGUGAAGAACCAGACCGAGGCACCAGAUUUCCUCCAUUUGAAAGGAAAUCAUUCCAACUGCCUGGAAGUGGCACAUCAGUGGUUACUGUGAGGUAGAGGAGUGUCAACCGCUCUUCAGGACUUACCUGUGCUCUUGCUUUUUAUGCCUGUAGGAGAUGAAAACUCACUGCUCUUCCACUCAAGGCUGAACUACCAAGUGGUAGCUUUCAUCCACUGUGUGGGGAAAAAGCAUAUGCAUGGGCACAUCGUGUAACACAGUCCUACCCUUUACUUCAUGGCCACUUCAGGCAAACUCAAGGAUUUAGCUUGGGUCUGAGAGACGGGUUUGGUCUCCAAGCAGACCAAAUACCACCCCCCCACCCUUUUUUGUAUGGUUGUUGUUCAGAGUACCCAAGGUCAGUAAUUCCCUGGAGCUGACUGUUCCCUGAAAUGAAGUAUCCUGGCCAGAGGUCAUGUCAUUCCCAUACACUCCCAGUUCCUCUUCUCUGUCAUAAUGGAAAUGUGAAGAUAUCAAUUUGUAAAUUUUAACAAUUGGAAGAAAAAUGCCGAACUUUGAAUGAGUGGUGCUGGGAAUUAGCACCUGGCCACUAAGGAGAGCUGAUGUGGAUAAACUCUGUACUAGGGAGUAACCAAAGAGCAAUGCUGGCGUGACCUGCAAGCUCUGAGUACAGAUGUGUUGUCUGAUGCUUUCUUCUUUACAUACAUGUAGGGGAGGGGGGGGAGUAGUAAUUAGUUUAACUACUGUAACAGCACCUUUCAUGGUGGUGAUACCAAGAAGUCUCCAAGGUAGAAGGAAAAGACUAAGAACUCAACAUGGCUCAUCAAACCACCACUCAGUUAAAUAUAUAAACUGAAUAUAUUAAAGCUUCGAAUUUUAUUACAAUCAAUUCCUUCU